rnacentral:rRNA from 1 species
AACGAACGCUGGCGGCAUGCCUAACACAUGCAAGUCGAACGAGACCUUCGGGUCUAGUGGCGCACGGGUGCGUAACGCGUGGGAACCUGCCCUUAGGUUCGGAAUAACUCCCCGAAAGGGGUGCUAAUACCGGAUAAUGUCUUCGGACCAAAGAUUUAUCGCCUUUGGAUGGGCCCGCGUUGGAUUAGCUAGUUGGUAGGGUAAAAGCCUACCAAGGCGACGAUCCAUAGCUGGUCUGAGAGGAUGAUCAGCCACACUGGGACUGAGACACGGCCCAGACUCCUACGGGAGGCAGCAGUGGGGAAUAUUGGAAAAUGGGCGAAAGCCUGAUCCAGCAAUGCCGCGUGAGUGAUGAAGGCCUUAGGGUUGUAAAGUUCUUUUACCCGGGAUGAUAAUGACAGUACCGGGAGAAUAAGCACCGGCUAACUCCGUG